AUUGAACGCUGGCGGCAGGCCUAACACAUGCAAGUCGAACGGUAACAGGAAACAGCUUGCUGUUUCGCUGACGAGUGGCGGACGGGUGAGUAAUGUCUGGGAAACUGCCUGAUGGAGGGGGAUAACUACUGGAAACGGUAGCUAAUACCGCAUAACGUCGCAAGACCAAAGAGGGGGACCUUCGGGCCUCUUGCCAUCGGAUGUGCCCAGAUGGGAUUAGCUAGUAGGUGGGGUAACGGCUCACCUAGGCGACGAUCCCUAGCUGGUCUGAGAGGAUGACCAGCCACACUGGAAAUGGGACACGGUCCAAGACCCUACGGGGAGCAGCAGUGGGGAAUAUUGCACAAUGGGCGCAAGGCUGAUGCAGCCAUGCCGCGUGGAUGAAGAAGGCCUUCGGGUUGUAAAGUACUUUCAGCGGGGAGGAAGGGAGUAAAGUUAAUACCUUUACUCAUUGACGUUACCCGAAGAAGAAGCACCGGCUAACUCCGUGC
rnacentral:rRNA from 1 species